rnacentral:rRNA from 1 species
GGGGGGGGGCAAGCGUUGUUCGGAAUUACUGGGGCGUAAAGGGCGCGCAGGCGGCCCGGCCAGUCCUACGUGAAAUCCCACAGCUCAACUGUGGAACUGCGUGGGAUACUGCCAGGCUUGAGUCCCGGGAGAGGAGAGUGGAAUUCCAAGUGUAGCGGUGAAAUGCGUAGAUAUUGGGAGGAACACCGGUGGCGAAGGCGGCUCUCUGGACCGGCACUGACGCUGAGGCGCGAAAGCUAGGGGAGCAAACGGGAUUAGAUACCCCGGUAGUCCUAGCCCUAAACGAUGAGCACUUUGUGUGGCGGGUAUCGACCCCUGCCGUGCAGAAGCUAACGCAUUAAGUGCUCCGCCUGGGGAGUACGGUCGCAAAGGCUG